rnacentral:rRNA from 1 species
GAUGAACGCUGGCGGCGUGCCUAAUACAUGCAAGUCGAGCGAACAGAUGAGGAGCUUGCUCCUCUGACGUUAGCGGCGGACGGGUGAGUAACACGUGGAUAACCUACCUAUAAGACUGGGAUAACUUCGGGAACCCGGAGCUAAUACCGGAUAAUAUAUUGAACCGCAUGGUUCAAUAGUGAAAGACGGUUUUGCUGUCACUUAUAGAUGGAUCCGCGCCGCAUUAGCUAGUUGGUAAGGUAACGGCUUACCAAGGCGACGAUGCGUAGCCGACCUGAGAGGGUGAUCGGCCACACUGGAACUGAGACACGGUCCAGACUCCUACGGGAGGCAGCAGUAGGGAAUCUUCCGCAAUGGGCGAAAGCCUGACGGAGCAACGCCGCGUGAGUGAUGAAGGUCUUCGGAUCGUAAAACUCUGUUAUUAGGGAAGAACAAAUGUGUAAGUAACUAUGCACGUCUUGACGGUACCUAAUCAGAAAGCCACGGCUAACUACGUG